GACGAACGCUGGCGGCGUGCUUAACACAUGCAAGUCGAACGGAAAGGCCCUGCUUUUGUGGUGUGCUCGAGUGGCGAACGGGUGAGUAACACGUGAGUAACCUGCCCUUGACUUUGGGAUAACUUCAGGAAACUGAGGCUAAUACCGUAUAGGAGCUCCUGCUGCAUGGUGGGGGUUGGAAAUUUUCGGCUGUUGGGGAUGGACUCGCGGCUUAUCAGCUUGUUGGUGGGGUAGUGGCUUACCAAGGCUUUGACGGGUAGCCGGCCUGAGAGGGUGAACGGCCACAUUGGGACUGAGAGACGGCGCAGAGUCCUACGGGAGGCAGCAGUGGGGAAUAUUGCACAAUGGGCGGAAGCCUGAUGCAGCAACGCCGCGUGCGGGAUGACGGCCUUCGGGUUGUAAACCGCUUUCGCCUGUGACGAAGCGUGAGUGACGGUAAUGGGUAAAGAAGCACCGGCUAACUACGUG
rnacentral:rRNA from 1 species